rnacentral:lncRNA from 1 species
UCUCCUGCUUUGAAUGCCGGCCUAUUUACGGGUCCACGGCCGUCUAAAUCGACAGAGACCUUUACCUCAUUCUCCGCCCCCCAACAAGUAAAGGGCUAUUGCGACCUUAGCUCGGCGUUCAUCUUUCCGGUCUAGCUCAAUGAUGAGCUUUUUAGAUGUUCAGUCUGUUCGGACGGAUAUGACGUUGCAUGUCAUCGUCGUGGGAACCUCAUCAUCGCUGGUAUCCUCGGGUCCCGACGGAUAUCCGUCUGCAGGCUUAGAGCUUUGCCACCAAUGAAUUCAUUAUCAUACUCUAAUUAGAAUGGCUUAAUUGGUUUUGGUUUGGACUCUGCUCUCACUAACGUCGUAGAAAGCCAUUCGUCAAGCUACCAAGCAAUAUGUGUCAAUGUACUCUUUCUGUACCCCGAUACCUAUUGAGUAGCAAAUCUCUGCACUCUCGUAGUAAAUUAUCCUUUCCUCGAUGAACUGAUGAACUCAAGUCCAGGCUGGAAACAAAAAUACCACGAGAUGUGGAGCGCGAGAAAAUCAUUUAUCUCUCCAAGCUAGGAGGAGCUGUCUUAAUAGCUGCUUUAAGUCUUAGCUCUUUUCUUUAGGAACGACCAGUAAGCGUAAACAUCCGAAGGCGAUUAAUGGUUAUUAGUCGUAUCAUUUUCACCUUAGCCUGCAAGCACCCUUGCUUCGCCACUUANNN